UACGACAUUGUGCUGGGUUGAUUUUCUGGCAUUUUAUAAUCAAGCCAUUAUUUAGGUGUAAUUGCUGGUUACGGCCCUGUUACCAGUGUACGUAUGCAGUCAGCUCAGACAUGUAACUGCACACAAGUACAUGUAAGAGGAACAAAAAUACAGAUACAAUAUCCUGUAGAAAAAUGUGUAAAGAUAUAAACUACCGUAUAAAAAAUAACACUUAAAGUAAACACAACCCUAAAUACGGCGCUCCUUUCCCUAAAUGCCAAUGCACUGUUUUAUUAGAUAAGGAUAAUUUUUUUUUUUUGUAUUUUAGUCUGCAUUGCAUUUUAAGCUGUUUUGUGCAAAGGUUGACAACAAUCUAACUUUUCUUUUUAUUCAUUUGUUUGUGUGGAGGUUUAUACUCUCCUAAAGUUUAACGUAAGAGCGCGUUAACAGCUUGAGAGAUGCAGUGACAGCAUUUGCUUCUUCUCACCUACAAAACAAAACCAACAAACACAAAUAAAACGACAUCUAAACAAAGGACGCAAUAAGAUGCUGCAGUUUCGUUAUUCGCCAGACGGUGGCAGCAGUCACCGCGUUCCUACUGACAGACAUGCUCGUUUACUGUUUAUCCUCUAAUUUAAAUGAGCAGCUAUGGAUGCAGAAAUGAGCACAGAUUUAACGCUAUGGUUCCAGUGUGUAAAUCCAAAACAGUUAUAAUGAGGGUGACAGGCUGCGUAUCCAGAUGCUGCACCCGAUCACAGAAGAAAAUGACAAAGAAGGAGGCCACUUCUACUACAAGCAAGACAGGAGACCCCGUCUAACACCUGCCCGUCCCGAACAGCUUAUCCAGAUGCUGGAAGACGUGAUGCCGAGCAGCCAAG
rnacentral:lncRNA from 1 species